rnacentral:rRNA from 1 species
CCUACGGGGGGCAGCAGUGAGGAAUAUUGGUCAAUGGCCGUAAGGCUGAACCAGCCAAGUAGCGUGAGGGAAGACUGCCCUAUGGGUUGUAAACCUCUUUUAUGCGGGGAUAAAGGUGUCCACGUGUGGAUGUUUGCAGGUACCGCAUGAAUAAGGAACGGCUAAUUCCGUGCCGGCAGCCGCGGUAAUACGGAAGGUCCGGGCGUUAUCCGGAUUUAUUGGGUUUAAAGGGAGCGUAGGCAGGUCUGUAAGCGUGACGUGAAAUUUGGUGGCCCAACCACGGGAGUGCGGCGCGAACUGGAGGCCUUGAGUGCGCGGAAGGCAGGCGGAAUUCGUGGUGUAGCGGUGAAAUGCUUAGAUAUCACGAAGAACCCCGAUGGCGAAGGCAGCCUGCCGCAGCGUUACUGACGCUGAGGCUCGAAAGCGCGGGUAUCGAACAGGAUUAGAUACCCCAGUAGUC